CUCAUUUAAUAAAUAUCCAUAUUAAAAUAUACUAUAUAUCUAUGUUAAUUUCAUUUAAAUUCGAUCAAGAAUAUAAAUUUUUUUUUACGAUAUUUUUUAAAAUAAUUUUUAUAUAAACUCACCAUGCGAAAAACACGUGUCUUAUCCUAAUUUCAUACUGUUUGGGACUACCAGACUCCAGGAACCGUUAAAGUCGGAUUCGCCAAGUCCAAAUAAUUUAUCUUAUUAUCUCCUACUCUCUGGUGGCAUUAUGAUAUAUACUCUAUAAAUUAUCAUCUAGUCAUUUAUUAUUUUGAAUAUAUCUCUUGAUCUCCACUAAUUUCUGAUUUCUAUAACCGGUUUAUCUUCAUUUCUUUACUCUCAACAAACUAACUUAACCCUGCUUUUUAAAUAAAAUACUGUGAUUCAGAAAAGAAAAAAAAAUUUACUAUGUAUAGAAAGUUUGAAAUGAUAAAUUAAUAUGCCACGUAGAAACAUGCAACAAUUUCAAGGGAAAACCAUCCAAGUUGGUAUACACAAUCUCUUUAUAUCAUACACGAGAAUCAAAAGAACAAUUUCUAUAGUUCAACUCACUUUUCUGUUUGCAGUUAGAAAAAGUUUUGAAACGAGAAAAUAAAUAUUAAUUGUUCACCUCUCCUCUACCAUCUCCGCUUCCAUUUCUAUAAAUCUGGUCUUCACUCUUGAGUUGCAAGCAUACAUAAUCAAAUUUCAAAACAGAAGAAAGAGAGGAACCAUGAGUGUUCUUAAGGUUUAGAGCAGGAUGAUUGGUUAGAAAAAAAACCCAUAGAUGGGUUCCUUCGUUAAAAUGGCCUAAAACGAGAAGCAAUAAGUAUGAUUCAAGCGCAUCAAGCACUUACAGAGACGGUGAUAUGGUUUGUUGUGCGAUAUGCUCCUCCAGCAGGCCUGACUUGGAAGUUUCUGAUGUUGCGCCAUACUCCAACCAGAAGAAGUCUUCCUUUACUCUCAAAGUAAGUCUUUUUGCAGCUUGCAUGAAUUUUAUGCCCCUUGUACAUGUUACAAUUAAAUAAAUUAGAAAUAUUAACAUCAAUUAAUAUCAAUGCUCAAAUUACACAAUUUUUAUAUAAAAAACUCUAUUCUAUUGAAAAAGUUUGGAUUUCUUACAUUCUCAUCAGCCAAUACGAAUUCCAAGGUUUCCCCUCCCCCCCCCCCCCCCCCAGCAGGCCUGACUUGGAAGUUUCUGAUGUUGCGCCAUACUCCAACCAAGAAGAAGUCUUCCUUUACUCUCAAAGUAAGUCUUUUUGCAGCUUGCAUGAAUUUUAUGCCCCUUGUACAUGUUACAAUUAAAUAAAUUAGAAAUAUUAACAUCAAUUAAUAUCAAUGCUCAAAUUACACAAUUUUUAUAUAAAAAACUCUAUUCUAUUGAAAAAGUUUGGAUUUCUUACAUUCUCAUCAGCCAAUACGAAUUCCAAGGUUUCCCCUCCCCCCCCCCCCGUGAUUGAUGUUCAAGUCGCUGAUGGCGGUGAUUUGUUGUUUAGAAUCAUUUGCUGUGUUGUUGAGCGCUUUAGAAGCCAUUCUUUUGGUUUUGCGGUAUGAGUGUUUUAGGAAGAGGCGUGGGUAUUUAUAAUAGGAAGAGGUUAUAGGAAGAGUAGAUUAGGUUAUUUGAAAACUUGUAGGCUACUCUAAAUAUUUGCGAGAUCUUUAUCGUUAAUAGUACUAAAUGCAGUGACCAGAAAUUUUUAAAAUAUAUUCUGUGAGUAAGUUACACGCAAUCUAGAUUAUAGAAAGAUAUUUUGAACUUUGAAUGUAGCCAAUUGUGUAUCUUCAUUUUCUAAAUUUGGUUGUACAUUUAUUUGCACCGUGAUUGUAGGCGCUACAUACCUUCCACCUUUUUAAUCGGAAAAUCUUAUAGGGAAUAUUAUGUUGUUAAAAUUAUAGUUAGAAUAGAUAUAGUAUCGAUACUCUAUAUUAUGAAAAAAAAUCAGUUAUUUUAAAAUAAAUCGUAUCUAUUAGAUAUGGGAUUGGUUAAUUUUUAAAAUAAUUGAUUUCUCAUAGAUAUAUAUAUACAUUUAACAAAUAUUAAAUAUGUUUUUUAUAAUAUGGAAUAAACUAACCAUUAGGUUAUGUUUUUAAAAUCUUUUUCUGUAAAAAACAUGAGAAUGCGUAUGAAUACGUUCGGGUAUAAGGUUUGAAAAAUAUUAUUAGUAAAAAUAAGUCAUAUUUUUAUUUGCACACGUGAGUUGUUCGGAAGUUAUUUUCAUCUUUUAAGCCUUUUCAUUUUAGGGUAUAGGGUUUGAGAAAAGAUGAAGAUGGUUUCAUGUUAUAGGACAUUGAUGAUGUUUUAAAAAAUAAGGAUUAUUCAGGUAUGCAUACGGUUUGGGCCUUUAUAGUAUGCAUUCGGCUUGGGCCUUAAGUCAUUGACGAUUUUUUUAAAAAAAAAUAAAAGGGAAUGACAUUUGGUGGUAAAUAACUUGAAAAGCCAGGGGCAGAAUCCUAUUAGGGAUUUUGCUUUAAUAGUAUAGAUAGGUUAAGUGUAAUUUAGUCGGAUUAAACUCUAGUCGUAAUUGCCAUGCCGCAUAUAAUAGCAGUAGUUAUACUCUCUUGUAAGUAUUUUAUAAUAAGUUCAUACAUUUCUUGAUUUAACGAACCGAAAAAACUACAAGAGAAGUAUAGCCCAUAUUUCUUUUUGUUUUAGUUAAUAAUUUAUAGAGUACAUAUCAUAAUACCACAAACAGGUAGGAGAUAAUAAGAGAAAUUAUUUGGACUUGGCGAAUCCGACUUUAACAAUUCCCGGAGUCUGGUAGUUCCAAACAGUAUGAAAUGCUCGAAUGAAUGGCGUGCCAAGUUGCCUACACAAUCAAAAACCGCAGAAAUAAUUUUAAAGAUUUUUUUUUUAAAAAAUAAGAAGUUAAAGAUAUAUAAUAAAAAGUUUAAAGAUGAAAAAAUUACCAUAAAUCAGUCGUAGCAUCCGCGAAUACACUCUUGCAUUUCCCAUUCUUUCUCUCAAUGUACUAGGAAUUUUUUGAUAGAAAAUAAAUAAAGAAGAAUAGUGAAAGAAAUAAUAAUAAUAAUAAUAAUAAUAAUAAUAAUAUAUAUAUAUGUGUAUUGUCUAGCGUCUUACAUCACGUGGUGUGAGGGUAAAAGUUUUUGCGGCUAUUGUGAAGCUUAUAACUUCAGACAGCUUGUCAUAAUUAGAGCAGUCUGCUGCUAUUCCGAUUUGCUUAUUAAUCUUGACGAUCAAAUUCUAAGAAUUACAAUUAUGGAGAAAAGGGUUAAAAUUUAAUUUAACAAAUGAAAUGAUGAGAGAUAAUUAAUUAAAACAGAAAGACUUACCGGUGGACCACGAAUGUAUGUACUCCCCGAGUCCACAAGAACUUUGCAUCCCUUGGAGCAAACUUUCGUGUCAAUUUUGCCCACAAAAAAGGAGUUAAUCUUGAAGGUGUUAUGCGGCCCUUCCGCAUCAACGUAGGUAUGAGCUCCGGUGAAGUGCUCUUGGUCUAUACCUCCAAAGACUAUUUCUCCACCGUUUUCACCAGAAUCACUGUACCGUCGAAGCCAUAUCGAGAACACUUUCUUUGUAACUACCCCUUCAUCCAUCAUCGUUCUCCAGAUGGGACGAGCUCCUGUGAUGGCCGAUUUCGAUAGGCCGGAAAGUCCAAAUAUGCCAUCCCACGGCCUUUCGUAAAUCCGUCUACCUGGAGCUUCAGUUGCCUCGAUGAACGCUUGCUGUUUGAUGCGUAACCCGCCUAUCUCGACCGCAUCGUUGCUCAUGAACCCCUUCAGAGAACCUGAUCCGUAUCUGAUUUCUUUUUUCGUCCCUGUAUAUGUAUAUAUAUAUAGCAGAUAUGUUUAAAAUUCACAGACACAAAACCCACCAAUUAUAUAUAUAUAGCUAUAUACAUGUAUCAUAUUUAUGGAAAAUUAUUCAGCUUACCAUCGCGUUUGUAAGUCUUUGAUGCGCUUGAUCUAUACUUUUUGCUUCCCGGUUUAGGCCAUAUUGAAGAAGGAACCCACAGGUCGAAACUCCCGGUGUCAAACAACACGUUGAAAGGCUGACCCGGAGUUCCUACCAUAAUUUGCCCGAAGUAAGUAUUGUCAUUAUCAUUUGUCAAAGACACAUCGUCCUUGUUCCACAAGGUUUUCGUUUUGAGUGGGAUUCUCAUUAUGGCUUGACCUAGAAAAAGAUAAAAUAAAACAAAAUGAAUUAUUUAUACAUAUGAAAUAGUCAUAUACAUAUAUAUAGAAGUGAUAUAUAUCUAAUACUUUUAAAAUGAAAUUACAUGUAGCGUAUCAGGAGACAAGGAAAAGAAUAAGACCAGCAACUAUAAACCUUAAGCUAAUACUCAUGGUUUCUCUCUUUCUUCUGUUUUUUUUUUUUUUGAAUUUGAUUAUACUAUGCUGCAACUCAAGAGCCAAGACGGUAUUUAUAGACCAUGAAAUAUUUUUCAUUUGGAAUUUUUUUCAGAUUGAUCCAAAUUGAAUUGCGUGUGUUGAAUUUGAUCCAAAUUGUAAUAUUUUUCAUGUGGAAAUAUUGACCAAAAAUUCAGCAUGUUUGUACUUAUAAGAUAAUAUCAUUUUGUUCUAUUUCUGUCUAUAUAUUUUUUUGACCAAUUUUGUCUUUAUUGUCCUUUGUAUUUAUCAAAAUUAAUGAAAUAAAAUAGUUCUACAAACCCCCAAAAA